rnacentral:rRNA from 1 species
CCUGGCUCAGAUUGAACGCUGGCGGCAUGCCUAACACAUGCAAGUCGAACGGCAGCACAGUUAAGUACUUGUACUUAAUGGGUGGCGAGUGGCGGACGGGUGAGUAACGCGUAGGAAUAUGCCUUGAAGUGGGGGAUAACUUGGGGAAACUCAAGCUAAUACCGCAUAUGUUCUGAGGAACAAAGCUGGGGACCUUCGGGCCUGGCGCUUUAAGAUUAGCCU